GCGGCUGCGGCUCAGCCGUGCGUGCGGCGGGGCGGGGAGCACCCGGCUCCCGCGGCCCGCCCCGGCGCGGCGGCGCGGCGCGGGGGAGGCGGCGGCCGCCUCCGUGCUGCAGCGCGCGGCGCCGCUGGCGGGGGCCGGGGCCGGGCGGCAGCGCGCGGCGCGGAGGAUGGGCGCAGCGAAGGGCCGGGCCGCCGGCGCCGAGCACCCCGCCCUGCCCCACCGCAUCGCGCGGCGCCGCGGCUGCUCCGCCUGAGCGCGCCCGGCGCGGAGCGGCGCGGAGCCGCAUGGCCCUGCCGCCCGCCGCCCCUGCGCGCCGCGCGGCCGCCGCGCCGUAGCUGCCCCCGGGGAGGCUCCGCGCCCCCCGCCCCGGCGCGCGGCGUUCCGCAGCGAAGCGCGGAGAGACAGCGCUCGGCGAGGAUUCACCUGGCUCGGCUCCACCGCGAGGUCGGCGGGCGCGGAGCGGAGCGGCGCGGGCUGCCCGCGGCGGGGCGAUGCGAGCGGGCUCGGAGGGCUGCACCGCUGCGUGCCCCGCGCCCGCGCCGUCCCCCCGCCUCCCGCCCGCCCGGCGCGGUGUGUGCGUGUGUGCAUGUGCGCUGCCGCUGCCCGCGCCGGAGCCGGAGCCGGAGCCCAGCCGCCGCGCUCCAUGGGGCCGUCCGCGCGGGCUGCCCUGCCCGCCCCGGCCGCCGGCAGCCGCCACCGCGGAGCCGCUCUAGGAUGCGGCUGCUGAGCGAUGGCACAGGGCAGAGAGGCGGCCAGCCUGCCUGCCGCGAGAGUCUGAAGCCCCGCCGGAGCCCGGCCGCGGCCGCCGCUGCAGGGGAAGCGCUCCGGACGCCGUCUUUCCCUGAGAGGCACCAGGCUCGUGAACCUGAUCUACAAUGGAAAAACUGCUUUUGUUUCUGCUGUUCAUUGGCAUAGCAGUGAGAGCUCAGAUCUGCCCAAAGCGCUGCGUUUGUCAGAUUUUGUCUCCAAACCUUGCGACCCUUUGUGCCAAGAAAGGGCUCUUAUUUGUUCCACCAAACAUUGACAGGAGGACCGUGGAAUUACGGCUGGCAGACAACUUUGUUACAAAUAUCAAAAGGAAAGACUUUGCCAAUAUGACCAGCCUUGUGGACCUGACACUGUCCAGGAAUACAAUAAGUUUUAUCACACCUCACGCGUUUGCUGACUUGCGCAAUUUGCGGGCUUUGCAUUUGAACAGCAACCGAUUGACUAAGAUCACCAAUGACAUGUUCAGCGGGCUCUCCAAUCUUCAUCACUUGAUACUUAACAACAACCAGCUGACUCUUAUUUCUUCCACAGCUUUCGAUGAUGUUUUAGCUCUUGAGGAAUUGGAUUUGUCUUACAACAACCUGGAAACCAUCCCCUGGGAUGCUGUGGAAAAGAUGGUCAGCUUGCACACUCUCAGUCUGGACCACAAUAUGAUUGAUCAUAUUCCUAAGGGGACCUUCUCCCACCUCCACAAGAUGACCAGGUUAGACGUCACAUCUAACAAACUGCAGAAGCUACCACCUGAUCCUCUCUUUCAGCGAGCUCAGGUACUGGCAACCUCAGGAAUUAUCAGCCCCUCUACUUUUGCGUUAAGCUUUGGUGGAAACCCUUUGCAUUGCAACUGUGAGCUCUUGUGGCUGAGGCGUCUCUCCAGAGAAGAUGACCUGGAGACGUGUGCCUCUCCCCAGCUGCUGUCGGGCCGGUACUUCUGGUCCAUCCCUGAGGAGGAGUUCCUGUGCGAACCUCCUCUCAUUACCAGGCACACCCAUGAGCUGAGGGUGCUGGAGGGCCAAAGGGCAGCGCUGAGGUGCAAGGCCCGGGGGGAUCCAGAACCAGCAAUUCAUUGGAUUUCACCUGAGGGCAAACUUAUUUCUAACGCAACAAGGUCUGUGGUGUAUGACAAUGGUACACUCGACAUCCUCAUAACAACAGUGAAGGACACGGGCUCUUUCACCUGCAUCGCUUCCAACCCAGCAGGGGAAGCCACACAGACGGUGGACUUGCACAUAAUCAAACUCCCUCACUUGCUGAACAGCACUAACCACAUCCACGAGCCUGACCCUGGCUCCUCGGAUAUCUCAACGUCCACCAAGUCGGGCUCCAAUGCAAGCAGCAGCAAUGGGGAUACAAAAGUCAGCCAAGACAAGAAGGUGGUUGUUGCUGAAGCGACGUCAUCUACUGCUCUGCUGAAAUUCAAUUUUCAAAGAAACAUACCUGGAAUACGCAUGUUCCAGAUCCAGUACAAUGGCACUUAUGAUGACUCUCUGGUGUACAGGAUGAUACCUCCCACGAGCAAAACCUUCCUGGUGAACAACCUGGCUGCUGGGACCAUGUAUGACCUGUGCGUCUUGGCCAUCUACGACGAUGGGAUCACCUCCCUGACUGCCACCAGGGUGGUGGGCUGCACGCAGUUCACCACCGAGCAGGACUACGUGCGCUGCCACUUCAUGCAGUCCCAGUUCCUGGGCGGGACCAUGAUUAUCAUCAUUGGCGGGAUCAUCGUGGCCUCGGUGCUUGUGUUCAUCAUUAUCCUCAUGAUCCGGUACAAGGUGUGCAACAACAACGGGCAGCACAAGGCCACCAAGGUCAGCAACGUUUACUCGCAGACGAAUGGGGCCCAGGUGCAGGCCUGCGGCGGGGCGCUGUCCCAGUCCGCCUCCAAGCAGGCGGUGGGGCACGAGGAGGCCGCCCAGUGUUGUCGGGCUGCCAGCGAUGGUGCCGGACCCUCGCCGGAGCCCAGCCCUGGCCCGGAGGCCACCGCCGCCACCACUACCUCGCCCUCUCCUCACGCGUGGGCCGCCGGCACCUCCGCCACCCAGAAGCCGAAGCGGAAGCCGGGGCCAAAGCCCAGCAGCGAGCCACAGAGCGAAGCUGCCAUGAGUAUCGAGUCCCAAAACACUAACAGAAAUAACUCCACUGCUCUGCAGCUAGCUAGCCGUCCCCCCGACUCUGACAAAGGGGUCCCCACGUACAAAAGAGCACAAUCCAAGCCAAGUAAGUUCCUCACCUUGCCGGCCACCACGUCCAGAGCCAAGCGCAGGCUGUCACUGGGCGGCGAGCUGCUGCUGUGCCGCUGCCAGCAGGACGUGGGGCUGUGCUCCCGCCGCAGCCUCUCCAUGAAUGGGAUGCUGGCACAGGUGGGCCGCUCCGGCGCGGAGGGCGGAACAGCGACGUUCUCGAGCUCUGAGUGGAUAUUGGAAAGCACUGUGUGACCUGCCUCUUGGGGUUUUUUUAAGUUUACUUUUUAUUUCUGUGACAAACAAAAUGCCAAACGUUGUGUGAAGUUCCCUCUCCCGGGGAAUUGGAUUUGGGAGUCCACUGUUGUCUCACUGAGUGAUGAUUUGUCCGUGCGGGGUUCUCUAUAAGCCACCCAGUGCACACAGGGUUCUGUUUAGUUCCGGUUUGGUUUUAUUUAGUAUCCAAACAGAAGGCAACAUUCUGAGUUUAAAAAAAAAAAAAAAAGGGAAAAAAAAAAGGGUUAAGGGGUGAAAAAAAGCAUGAAACAGCACCAGUGCCUUCCCUGCUCUAGGACUGGCUUCCUGGUUCUGCGGUAGCAGAAAACACAAGAGAGAGUUUUCACAGAAAAAGCCUUUUAUAAAGGAAAUGAAAUUUCCUCCAAGCUAACAAAUAACCACUUCUGGAUCAAUCAGUAAAAUGAUAUUUUUUAAAAUGGUCAGACUGUACAUUUCUUUUCCGUGAUAAUAGUGUUGCCUUUGUUUUUAGGCAGAUGCUGUACAGAAACAACAACGCUGUGUUGUUCUCUUGUGUAAAAUAAAAUACUCACUCGGUACACCCAGCCAGCCUGGCGGUGACUGCCCGGGGCGCCCAGCGGUGUGCAGGGGAUGCUGGGCUCAGGGUCCCCUCCUGUCCCAUGCCGCAGUGUCAGUGCCACGGCUGGGAACACAGCUGCCUUCCAACGGGACCAGUGCCUGAUUGGUUGCUCCCUGCUUUGCGGUGCGAAAAUGGAAUGUGUUGAGCUCCUGUGUGUGCCAGCACCUCGAGACAGUGGGGAUUGCGGGGCAGCAGUGGGCAGAGGCAAGGGCAGCACUGGGGACAGUAACCUCACUCGUUCCAGGCUUUUAGGAGCCUAUCCCCUGUAAGCACUGUAGUUUGCGUCUGCAGUCCCUGCGCACAACAGAGUGGCUGGGAGAUGUUCACACCUUUACACUGAUGUGCUGCUUGGUUGCCGUGCCCUUGGGAUACUGUCAGGCCACGAUGUCAGCCUUGAGCAUAUGGCAAUAGGUGGUAACAGCUCAAACACCCCUGUUGUGAGAAUGACAAAUGUGCUUCUGCUGCUCUGCUCAUUCUAGAGAAUACUUGAAAAUUAAUACUAAUUGAACUCAUAUGGUCAUCACAUUUAAGUCAAAGACAGCUUAACUGAGCCAUCUCAGUGCAUUCUCAGAUGCUAAACAUCGGUUUUAAUAUGGGCUUUGCGACCACUAAAGUAAUAGAACAGUUAAAUUUUGCACUCUGUGUGCUUGUGCUUGAAGGAAGCACAGCCCAGCAGCUGUAUGCGGGUGUUCUGGCUCUCAGGCAUACAUAUAUGCAGCGCUGGGCCCCAGGGCCGGUGUGGGAGAGCAUCUCCUGCAUCCCCAGGGUGCUGCGCACAGGGCUGGGUGUGCAGAGCCUGUGGGUCGUGGCUGUGCUCUGCUCCAGUGGCUGCAGGAGCCAGGAACUGGAGGCGGUGCUGGAAAGUGCAGGGAAGGAAGAGGCUGUUUCUUUUUUAGAAAGCCCUUUUUCUUCCCUUUGGAAGUGCGGAGACCAGAAAGGAAAUGGAGCACCAAAAUUAGAAUACCCGUUUCCUGCUGGAAAAGCUAAAAAAAAAAUCCUUCCAGAUUUCUCUGGAAGACUACAAUCUUCUAGAGGGAGGCAUACGGACAGAAAUAAGCUCUUAACAUAGCGCACCGUCAGAGCUAGCAAUGUGUUUGUCAGAGUUACGGAAGGUUGAAAAUGAAGGCGUGGCGAAUCUGGGCAAAGGGGGGUAAUGGUCCUUGGAGGAGCUGGAUCUCUGCAGCCGGUACCUUCACCUUACGAUGGCUGGGGCUGACCUGAAGGACACCCACACUGCUCCGCUCCUUGAAAGCAGCUGCCCCAACCUGGCUACGCGGCAGAAAACAAAGCGAUCCCAGCGCACCAAGGAUUGAUGUUGCACUGCGCUCACACUGCUGAGACUACUUCAAGUCACAGCUGAGGCCAGGAGGCCAUGGAGGUCGGCAGUGUCGGACAAACAUUCCUCCCCAGCUCACAGAUUCCCCAUCUCCCAUCUGCCACAUUCAGUCUAAAUACCUUUUUUUCUGGUGUCUGAGAUUUUUAUAAAACUAACGAUGAAAACUUGGGUGGCAACAGCUGCAGUACCGCUUGUGUCAAAUGUUGCCAGUGGUGAGUUCACAAACUGUAAUCAUGGUAGCUUACAUCACUGUAACAAAUAAAUGUUUUACUACAA